rnacentral:tRNA from 1 species
GGCCGUGUGGUGUAGUGGUAGCAUACUUGCUUUGGGAAGACUUUCACAGCUGCUGCAAGUGGUCCCAGGUUCGAGCCCUGGCUCGGCCC